CUCACUGGGACCUUGAGUCCCCUGAAGGGCCGUCGAAGACUACGACGUUGAUAGGUUGGGUGUGUAAGCGCUGUGAGGCGUUGAGCUAAUCAAUACUAAUUGCCCGUGAGGCUUGACCAUAUAACACCCAAGCAAUU
rnacentral:rRNA from 1 species